CAGCCGCCACGGGAAUACAGAGGGUGCGAGCGUUAAUCGGAUUUACUGGGCGUAAAGCGUGCGUAGGCGGCUUCUUAAGUCGGAUGUGAAAUCCCUGAGCUUAACUUAGGAAUUGCAUUCGAUACUGGGAAGCUAGAGUGUGGGAGAGGAUGGUAGAAUUCCAGGUGUAGCGGUGAAAUGCGUAGAGAUCUGGAGGAAUACCGAUGGCGAAGGCAGCCAUCUGGCCUAAUACUGACGCUGAGGUACGAAAGCAUGGGGAGCAAACAGGAUUAGAUACCCCCGUAGUCCCUGUCUCUUAUAU
rnacentral:rRNA from 1 species